UACGAAGGGGGCUAGCGUUGCUCGGAUUUACUGGGCGUAAAGGGCGCGUAGGCGGAUGUUUAAGUCGGGGGUGAAAGCCCGGGGCUCAACCUCGGAAUUGCCUUCGAUACUGGACAUCUUGAGUACGGGAGAGGUGAGUGGAACUCCGAGUGUAGAGGUGAAAUUCGUAGAUAUUCGGAAGAACACCAGUGGCGAAGGCGACUCACUGGCCCGUUACUGACGCUGAGGCGCCGAAAGCGUGGGGAUCAAACAGG
rnacentral:rRNA from 1 species